rnacentral:lncRNA from 1 species
CUGUCCCCGCCGCUGGUGCCGUCGCAGCCCCGAGCGAAUUCCUGUUCGGGGGACGUCGCGACCGGCCGGCACGGCGCGCUCAGGCUCCGCACUGCCACUCCUGCGGGUCGCCCUCCCCGCGGGCGCGCAGACGGCGCGGGGACACACGGACCCCCAGGACCCCGCGAGCGCGGAACGCGCCGCAGCCCAGCGUGAGAGCCCUCCGGCCUGGGGCAGAUGUUUGUGCCUCGAGCUCCCCCAUCAAGCCACCUCCAAGCGUGGACUGCCAGACCCACCAGAGAAGACUAUACAACUUCAGUAAGUAUCAAGCUAACUCCUUUGUUUUCCACCUAAAAAAGACUCAGUCUAUAGCGAAAGGUGCUUGGAAAACAGAAGUCACUGGAGAUGACAGAAGGGGCAACAUUGUCCAUAAAAUUAAAAGCAAAAGGAUUAUUGGCUGGUCGUGGUGUCUCUUCUGGAUGAGAAGGCGGGAAGCCAACCUUCUCAUUAGGCUAUCUGGGCACACGGGAAUUGGGCAGGAGCCCAAACACUACAUUUCCUGUGGUCAAAGCUGAGGAGAAGAUAGAUAUGCUUUUCUCUGCGUGGAAGGGAUUUUGAUUAACUGGCUUAAUGGAUUAAGAUGCCUGCGGGGCACUGAGCUUCCGUGUUAAGCAGGUAGCAGUUUAUCUUAUGUUCUCGGGCUGCAUUUAAGCAAAUAGCUGCUCAACAGCCAAGAAGAAUCUUUUGAUUUUCAUGACUCCCGCUUCACGACCCCUUCAGCCUAUGCUGAUUUUACCUGUGGGAGAUGGUCAACAGUUCUGAACUUCAUGAAGGCAGACAGAGGAAAAGCACUACACUCUUUCCCCUUUUCUAACCGCACAGGUUAUAGCCACCAGAGAUUAAAGCCCAUGGUGGCUUACCUAGAACACCAGGGAAGGAAAGACACCCUGGGAAUUCGGCCCCAGCCGUUCUUCACACAAGAGAGCCAGGAGACAGUCAGUUGUAUUUGAUCUCCUGUCGAUGGUUUUGCCACAUCCUGACAAAUUCUUACAAAACAAGAAUUGCCCAAAUUCUUUUUCUUCACUGCCUAAGCUGCCCAAUCUGGUAUGAUUGGGGCCAGAGCCUUAUCGAUUUGGAGAGGGGGCGGGGUGGGGGGAAAAACAGGGAGGUAGUGGUAGAUAGCGUCCCCUUUUCCCCCUUCCCUGAGAAGCCAGGAAAUCUCUCCACGUAAGCCAUUUUCUCCUGGUUUUCACUAACAGAAAUGAAGCAGAGCAUAUUAAACACUAGGAAGUUCAGCUAGACUGUAAUAGUCAUAACAAACUUAGAUAUAAGUUCCCUCAAGUAGGGCACAAAGAAGCUCACUAUCUCCCCUGAAAGGUAAGGCUGAGUGUCCCAAGAAAAGAGUAUCUGACCUCGCGAUCCUCCAAACACAGCACCACCACGUAUGUUUUCUCUGGACUUGAAAUUCUAACAAUCAAGAAUCGGAAGGUAGAGAAAGAAAGGCCAAAUAUAGGAGGGAGGGAUUACAGAGAAAAAUCAUUGGCAGAAUAUUCAAUUCCUGGGCUUCUGAAAGGGCACUGAGCAAACACCUAGCCCUUAGUUGUAUAGGGUAUUUCUGUUCACCUUGCAUGACUGCAUCAGGAAGAAGGAUGCUGUGACCUUCUGAAGUCCUCACCCUAUCAUGAAAACUUAAGAUAGUAACUACAGGACUAAGAUGUCAAGUUCUUCAAACAAGCAAGCAGUAUUUGGGGGUUCUGGAGAUGAUUUUUUUUUUUAUUUCUUAGAGCACGCACAUGAGAUGGGGAGAGAGGCAGAGGGAAAGAGAAAGAAUCUUGAGCAGGCUUCACGCUCAGCACAGAGCCCCACGCGGGGCUCCAUCCCAUGAUCCUGGGGCUCAUGACCUGAGAUGAAAUCAAGAGUUGGACGCUUACCCAGGCGAGCCACCCAGGUGCCCCUAGACUAGGAUGAUUUUUUUUAAGUUUGAGAGAGUAUGAGGAGUGUGCAUGUGAGUGGGGGAGGGACAGAGAGAGAGAGAGAGAGGGAGAGAGAGAGAGAGAGAGAGAGAGAGAGAGAGAGAGAGAGAGAAUCCCAAACAGGCUCUGUGUUGUCAGCUCGAGCCCAACUCAGGGCAUGAACUCACAAAUCAUGAGAUCAUGACCUGAGCUGAAAUCAAGAGUAGGACACUUAACCAACUGAGCCACCCAGGUGCUCCUAGGGUGAUUUUUAAAGGGAAGACAUUUUCUAGAGCAAAGCAAAAAGUUGAAGUGCUCCAAAGACCCCAGUCCUGAAAAUACUCUUUGCAUAUUUACUUGCUGUAGAGCGUAUGCCAUAUUCUGGGGUAAAGCUUUUAAAAUAAAGGCAGGAGGAGAAUCUGCCA